rfam:Cellulophaga phage phi38:1, complete genome.
ACCUCUAUAGUUUAAAGGAAGAAUACGGCGCUUCUAACGCUAUGGUCGGGGUUCGAAUCCCUGUAGAGGUU